GACGAACGCUGGCGGCGUGCUUAACACAUGCAAGUCGAACGGAAAGGCCCUGCUUUUGUGGGGUGCUCGAGUGGCGAACGGGUGAGUAACACGUGAGUAACCUGCCCUUGACUUUGGGAUAACUUCAGGAAACUGGGGCUAAUACCGGAUAGGAGCUCCUGCUGCAUGGUGGGGGUUGGAAAGUUUCGGCGGUUGGGGAUGGACUCGCGGCUUAUCAGCUUGUUGGUGGGGUAGUGGCUUACCAAGGCUUUGACGGGUAGCCGGCCUGAGAGGGUGACCGGCCACAUUGGGACUGAGAUACGGCCCAGACUCCUACGGGAGGCAGCAGUGGGGAAUAUUGCACAAUGGGCGCAAGCCUGAUGCAGCAACGCCGCGUGCGGGAUGACGGCCUUCGGGUUGUAAACCGCUUUCACCUGUGACGAAGCGUGAGUGACGGUAAUGGGUAAAGAAGCACCGGCUAACUACGUG
rnacentral:rRNA from 1 species